UACGUAGGGUGCAAGCGUUGUCCGGAAUUAUUGGGCGUAAAGAGCUCGUAGGCGGUUUGUUGCGUCGGCUGUGAAAACCUGAGGCUCAACCUCAGGCCUGCAGUCGAUACGAGCAGACUAGAGUGUUGCAGGGGAGACUGGAAUUCCUGGUGUAGCGGUGAAAUGCGCAGAUAUCAGGAGGAACACCGGUGGCGAAGGCGGGUCUCUGGGCCGAUACUGACGCUGAGGAGCGAAAGCGUGGGGGAGCGAACAGG
rnacentral:rRNA from 1 species